rnacentral:rRNA from 1 species
UACGUAGGGUCCGAGCGUUGUCCGGAAUUACUGGGCAUAAAGAGCUCGUAGGUGGUUUGUCGCGUUGUUCGUGAAAACUCACAGCUCAACUGUGGGCGUGCGGGCGAUACGGGCAGACUGGAGUACUGCAGGGGAGACUGGAAUUCCUGGUGUAGCGGUGGAAUGCGCAGAUAUCAGGAGGAACACCGGUGGCGAAGGCGGGUCUCUGGGCAGUAACUGACGCUGAGGAGCGAAAGCGUGGGGAGCGAACAGG